rnacentral:rRNA from 1 species
AGAGUUUGAUCAUGGCUCAGGAUGAACGCUAGCUACAGGCUUAACACAUGCAAGUCGAGGGGCAGCAUGUUGGUUGCUUGCAACCAACGAUGGCGACCGGCGCACGGGUGAGUAACGCGUAUCCAACCUACCCUUGUCCAUCGGAUAACCCGUCGAAAGGCGGCCUAACACGAUAUGCGGUUCACAGCAGGCAUCUAACGUGAACGAAAUGUAAAGGAGAAGGAUGGGGAUGCGUCUGAUUAGCUUGGUUGGCGGGGUAACGGCCACCAGGCAACGAUCAGUAGGGGUUCUGAGAGGAAGGUCCCCCANAUUGGAACUGAGACACGGUCCAAACUCCUACGGGAGGCA